GUCUUUCUCAGAAACCCAAAAGAAGGGGAGCAGAGUAUCUUCGCCAGCUGAAGUUAGAAGUCUUAGAACAUUUUCUCAUAAACACAAUAUUGCACACUUUUUAAAGGGGUAUAAAAUACAGUAUUCAUCACACAGGCAUUUACUGUGUACCUACAAUGUGCCAGGUAUUUAAUUCAGGUAGAUCAUGGGUCAAAUCACACCUUUGUUAGGCGGCUGGAGAAUCAUAACUUCCCAAGAAAAUAUUUAGCAUACAUAGCAUACAUAGUCUUCGUUGGGUUAGCAACUGGCUAGAUUCGUGACACAUUGUUACAAAAAAAUAGUUGUAUAAGGAAGUAUUUCAUGAAGGUGACACAUCUAUUUUUUAAAAAGGGAGAAACAGCUAAGAGCUAUUUUUCCCCACACAUUAUGCUUUGUGAAUAGGGAACAACGGUGGAUACACAGAGUAGGUUGGACAAACAUUUUUGAGGGACUGACACAUUAUCUCACAUGCUUGAUGCCUCAUGGGGUUUUCCCUCAACAUUCCAAUUGGUCUAAGUCAAAGCACAAUUAGAAUAGAGCAGGAAGUAUUCUGGAGCUAUUUUAAUCUCCACUUACUUCUGCCUUGUGGAAGGGGUGGGAAAGCCUUUAUCGAUGGGUAGGUGGGAGAACCAGGGGAAGACUGUCAGCUACGAUUUUCUCUAGGCUCAAGAAGACUGAGACCGAGCCAAACUCCUGGCCAACAUGCUUUGUGGAUUCACAGUGUAGCUUGAGAAAAAUGGUUUCCUUCCAAAUUCUCUACCCCCACACCUUAAGAGAUUCUGAUACAUCAUAAAUAGAGGGACAUACAUCUUUACAUGAAAACGACAUGGAAGAUUUUCUGAGGGACAUGUGAAUGGUGAAUUUGCAUGAUGUGGAGAACCAAAAUGGCUGAGGACUGCUGCUCAGUGCCCCAGCUCUGUUCACUCGCCUAGAGUUUCCUGAACAAGCCCUGCUGCUUCUGUCUUCUGAGCUCUGACCCACCAAGCCAUUUCCUCUACUUGGAGUGCUUUCCUUCCCUUUCUGCUUUUCCCUUCUCAAAACCAAGCUAAAAUAUUGCCUGCUCUAUGAAACUUAUCCUAUCACCCUGUUCAGAUGCACAUGUCUUUCUUCUGUACUUUUGUGACACCACAUGCAGAUCUGUUCAUCACAUUUUCUAGUAUUCAUUUGUUUAAAAAUAUGAAUUGAGAUACCACUAAAUGUCAGAUGCUAUAUUAAGUGCUAACUACAGUCUUGGUGAACAAAAAGGUAAAAUUUUCCUGCUCUUGUGGGGCCUGCAUUCUUAUGGAGGAGAUGGAAUAUAUUUUUUAAAACAUAAAAUUUAAAUUUAUUUUGAGGUGAUUUUGAUCAGCACCUCAAAGAAGCAAGAGAGUGAACAGCAGUAAUAUCUGAGGGACAAGCAUUCUAAGUAUAGGGAACAGCAUAUUUAAAAGUCCUGGACUCACUCAGUGUAUUUUAGGAAAAAAAAAAAAAAGAAAGAAAAGUGGCUCACAAGGUUGAGACCAACAGAAGUGCAGCAAGAAAUGCGACCAGGAAGACACCAAGAUGCCAUAUUAUAAAGUCCUGAGGCCACUGUAAGAUCUUUGGAUUUUAAUCUAAGUGUGUAGAAUAACAUGAUCUUAUUUAUGUAGUAAAAUACUAAGAGGCAACCUUCUGGCUGCUCUGUAAGAAGGGAUUGUAGGACCCAAAGUGGAAGCAGGAUGGUCAGCUAGAGGCUGUCAUGGUGAUUUAGUUAAUUGAUGUUGCUGGCUUGGAUCUAGGAGACAACACUGGAGGUGGGGAGAAGUUAUCAGAUUUGAAGGAUAUUUUGAAGGUAGAGUUGAUAAGAUCUGAUAGAUUUGGCAUAGGUUAAGGAAAGCUAAGCAUCAAGGACAACUCUUUAGGUUUUGGGCUUCAAUAAUUGGAUGGAUUUUGGUGGCACUUUGGUGAAUGCUGGGUGAAGGACAUGUUUAAGAAUGAAAACAUGUUAAUAGAUUCUGGCUGUAUUAUUAGGUGUGAGAUGCCAACCAGGCAUCAAUGUGGAGAUGUUGAAGGGACAGUGUUUAGGAAAAGGGUCAGAACAGAGAUGUGUAUUUGGGCAUCAUCCUCAUAUAGAUAGCACUUAAAAUUAUGGUGCUGACAUUCCUACCAGGGCUGUGAGCAUAGUCUGUUGAAGAUACCAGUUCUGAGGUCUGAACUCUGGGACACUCCACCAUUUAGGGAGCAGAAAGAGAGUCUAACAACAACAACAGAAAUGAGUAGGAGUGGUUAAUGAAUUAAGAGAACAGGAGGAUGUGGAUUAUUAGAAACUAAGGAAAGACAGUAUUUCAGGAAGGGGGAGCUGAUCAUCUAGGUCAAAUACAUAAAGAAUUUACCACUGGGUUUGCAUUGUGGAGGUCAUUGCCAAAUGGCUACCUUUAUCAGAGCCAUGAUGCUAUUCCUUGGCAAAUGUUGAUUUACUUAUCUGUUUCUUCCAGAAAACCUGUGAACCUCACAUAGGAGUGAUUUUGCCCUCCAGGAAACCUUUGGCAAUAUCUGGAGACAUUUUUUGUUGUCAAAACUGAGUGGGGGUGGAGUGAUGCUACUGGCAUCUAAUAGAUGGAGGAACAGGACACUGCUGAACAUCCUGCAAUGCACAGAGCAGCUCCCCCGACAACAAAAAAAAUGAUCUGGCUCCAAACGUCAAUGGUUCCAAAGUUGAGAAAUCCUGCACUAAACUUAUAGUUCCCAAAGUGUGUGCUUAGACACCCCAGGGGGGACAUAGGAGUGCUGUAGGAUAUUUUAAAGUGUGAAUGGAAACACAAUGGCAUCUGUCAAGCACUAAAUAAACUAGUAACUCAAAAUAGUUCACGGUUUCAACAUUAGCUUUCUUUUUUUUUAAAUAAUGUAUCUUUGUAAAACUUGGUUUUGGAAGUUGCUGUGAUAAGAAUCAAAUACUUGGUGAAUAUCAUUGUGGAAUAAGAAGUGAGAAUGGCAGUUUCCAAUCUGACUUCAAGGUUUGUGAAGUUGGAUAGUGACCAGAAGGUGUUGAGUUUUUAGGAUGUAAAUAGUUAUUAAAUUGUUUGGACUUGACAACUCAAGAAACUCAAUUAUUAGGUAUAUUUUUUAGCCUAGGGGGUGUAGUAAAAAAUUAUGGAUAUGCCACGGGCACCAUAAAGCAGAAGGCUUGGAACUGCUGGGCUUGACUUUAAGUUCCUUGGGAAUAGGCAUUGUGUAUUAGUACUUUAUAUCUGCAGCACCCAGAACAGUGCCUGCUAAAAGUGUGAGGUGCGAGAAUGCUAAACAGAUAUCCAUAAGGAGAUUGAGGGAAAUUUAAUAAAUUUAAGAAAUAAAAUGGCAGGUAUGAAAUGAAUGAAAGGGCACAUGUGCACUGUAGUGUCAAGAGAAUUAUAUGUUAAGUGGCAAAAUUCUACCUACUGGUUCACUAUGCACUACAACAUCCCUAAAUACCUCCCUACUUAUAUAGGAUAAAAUAAGAGAGGGGAAAAGAAUAAAGCUUGACUUUCUUACUCUUUGGCCUGUGAAUCUCUAGACUAAAAUUUCUUGAGUUUAGUGCAAGUUUACUUCCUCAGAUUACAUUAUUUUUUCCCAAUACAAAUUUCUAUUCUCACUUAUAUUAUGCAUAUUGACAAAACUGUGAUCUUAUUCUGCAGGAAUAUGUGAACGGGAGUAAUUUGAAUAUCUCCUAAAUUUUUGGCUGCUUUUCUUCCUGCCCCUUUUGCCAAGCACUACAUGCCCUAGCCUAAUGAUUGCAUAGAUGUUGGAAAGAGAUGUUCUUUUUAGAGUUAGUGAUUCUAUUUUGUUUUUGAAAAAAAUCUUUUAAGUGUAAGAAUAUGAUUUCAGAAUAUAAACUUGUGGAAAUAUUCUUGGUAUAGUGGCAAGAAGUCAGCUUUUUAGAAUGGGAUAUAUAGUCCCAUGCAUCUCACUCUCACUGGGUAACAUCUGGAACAAGGCAUAAAGUUUCUUUGACUCUUAGAUUUGUCACCUGUAAACUCGGAAUAUGAACUCUCAAAGUUCUUAUGAGGAUUAGACUAGUUAGCUGAUGACAAGUACCUAUCACAGUGCUUGACACAAGGAGAUACUCAAUAAAUUAUAGCUUCUCCUUCUAUUUCAACCUGACCUAUCCUGACACCUUCCUUCUCCUUUUUCUCAUUCUCUUAGUCUUUUGUUUGACUUUAACACCUAGGAUGAAGCUUAUAGAACUUAUUACCAUUUUAAAACAGGCAAGUUGUUUGCUUUGUUGGUAUUUUGUGUUGUAUAGUGAUGGGGUGGUAUUUUCCCUAUUAAUAAUGUAGUGCAUCAACAAAUGUUAAUAUAUCCAUAGAAACUUCUCCAGCAGGGACAGAGUUGGAGAAUCGCUGAGUCACCAGUCUCCCCUCACCUGAGAGUGUUCACAGUGAAACUUCUCUCCAUUGUGUGUUUUGUGGCCUUGCUUAUUUGCAAUGGUCUGUCCGGAAGAAUUUGAGAUUAGAGACCCCAUGGAUAAUCAUAUUCCAAGGUAACCAGUAAAACUAAAUUUCUGUAAUAGUUAUAACUUCUACUAAAUCUUUUUGCUAGAGCAGCUAAAAUGCAGUCUGCCUGUGAAAUCUGGCUGACUUACCUUAUUCAGCAUAUAAAAGUUACGUUUACUCUAUAGUGUAGUCAUUUAAGUAUGUAACAGCAUUAGCCUAAAAACUAUACACACUUUAAUUAAAAAUUACUUUAUUGCUCAAAAAUGCUAAUGAUCAUCUUCACUGAGUCAUAACCUUUUUUGUUGGCGGAGGGUCUUGCCUCAAUGUCGAUGGCUGCUGACCAGUCAGGGUGGUGGUUGCUGAAGGAUAGGGUGACUGUGACACUUUCUUUUUUUUUCUUUGAGACGGAGUCUUGCUCUGUUGCCCAGGCUGGAGUGCAGUGGAACGAUCGCCGCUCACUGCAAGCUCCGCCUCCCGGGUUCAGGCCAUUCUCCUGCCUCAGCCUCCCGAGUAGCUGGGACUACAGGCGCCUGCAACCCCGCCUGGCUAAUCUUUUGUAUUUUUAGUGGAGAUGGGGUUUCACCGUGUUAGCCAGGACAGUCUUGAUCUCCUGACCUCGUAAUCUGCCCGCCUCGGCCUCCCAAAGUGCUGGGAUUACAGGCGUGAGCCACCAUGACCGGCCGACUGUGGCACUUUCUUAAAAUAAGACAACAAUGAAGUUGGCUGCAUCGAUUGACUUUUCCUUUCAUGAAAGAUUUGUCUACAGCAAGUGGUGCUGUUGUGGUUUGAUAGCAUUUGACCUACACUAGAACUUCUUUCAAAAUUGAAGUCAAUGCUUCUCAAACCCUGCUGCUGCUUUAUCAGCUAAGUUUAUGUAAUAUUCUGAAUCCUUUGUCAUCAUUUCAUGUUCACAGCAUCUUCACCAGGAGUAGAUUCCAUUUCAAGAAACCCCUUCCUUCCUUCCCUCCCUCCUUCCUUCCUUCCUUCCUUCCUUCCUUCCUCCUUCCUUCCUUCCCUCCCUCCGUCCCUCCCUCCCUCCCUCUCUCCCUCCCUCCCUCUCUCCCUCUCUCUCUCUCUCCCUCUCUCUCUCUCUCUCCCUCUCUCUCUCUCUCCCUCUCUCCCUCCCUCCCUCCAUUUGCAUUCACAGUUUUGUGGUUUGGUUCAAGAGGCCUUGCUCUCCACCUGUCUUGGCUUCCAACAUGCCUUCCUCACUCAGCUUAAUCAUUUCUAGCUCUUGAUUGAAAGAGAGAUGUGCAACUCUUUCUCUUUCACUUGAACACUUAGAGGCCAUUGUAGGGUUAUUAAUUGCCCUAAUUUCAAUAUUCUUGUGUCUCUGUGAAUAGGGAGACCUGAGGAGAGGGAAAGAGUCAGAGAAUGACUGCUGGUCAGUGAAGUCGGAACACCACACACAACAUUUACAGAUUAAGUUUGCCAUCUUAUAUGGGUGUGGUUCAUGGUGCUCCAAAACAAUUACAUUAGUAACAUCAAAGAUCACUGAUUACAGAUUACCCUAACAGAUAUAAUAAUAAUGAAAAAAAUUGAAAUAUUGUGAGAAUUACCAAAAUUUGAUAGAGACGUGAAGUGAGCACAUGCUGCUGGAAAAAUGGCACUGACACACUUGCUCAAAGCCGAGUUGCCACAAAACAUCAAUCUGUAAGAGGAAAAAUAUCUACAAAGCACAAUAAAGCAAAGCAAAAUAAAAUGAGAUAUGUCUGUAGUUGUAUCUGGUAUGUAAUUAGCUCUUGGAUUUAUUGCUUUAAUAAGUGUAUAUGAGUCUAUUGGUGUAACCUUCACUAUAUAAAAAAAGCAACACUUUCGUAACUACAUUUAUGACAAAGGACUCAUAUCUAAAAUGUAUAAAUAACUCUCAAAACUCAACAGUAAAAUAACCAACCAGAGCAAUAAGGAAAUGGGCAAAAAUAUUAAAAGACUGUUCACUGAGGAGGAUAUACAAAUAUCAAGUAGGCACACAAAAAUAAAUAUCAGUGGGUAAAUAUAUAUAUAUCUAUGAUAAUAGCUAGAAUUCAAAUUAUAAUGUCAAAUGCUAGUGAGGAUGUGGAUAAAUUGGAGCAUUCAUACAUUGGUAUUGGGAAUGUAAAAUGAUACUGCUAUUCUGGAAAAUAGUUUGGCUGGUUCUUUAAAGAUAUAAAAAAUAGGCCAGGCAUGGUGGCUCAUGCCUGUAAUCUCAGCACUUUGGGAGGCCGAGGCAGGAGGAUUGCGAGGUCAAGAGAUCGAGACCAUCCUGGCCAAUAUGGUGAAACCGCAUCUCUACUAAAAAUACAAAAAUUAGCUGGGUGUGGUGGUGCGUGCCUGUAGUCCCAGUUACUCGGGAAGCUGAGGCAGGAGAAUAGCUUGGACCUGGGAGGUGGAGGUUGCAGUGAGCUGAUAUUGCACUGCUGCACUCCAGCCUGGUGACAGAGCAAGACUCUGUCUGAAAUAAACAAACAAACAAACAAACAAAUUUACCAUGUAAGCCAGCAAUUGCACUUCUGGGAAUUUGUCCUACAAAAAUUAAAACUUAUGUUCACACAGAAUAUUGUACAUGGUUGUUCAUUGCAGCUGUUUUCAUUUGAAAUAACUCAAAACAAUAAACAUUCACAGUGUCCCUCAAUAGCUGAAUAGUUAAACAAACUGUGUGGUACAUCCAUACCAUGGAAUACUGCAUUGCAAUAAAAAUGAAUGUACUGCUGAUACAGACAACAGCUUGGAUGGACCUCUAGGGCAUUAUAUUGAAGGAAAAAAAGCCAAUUUCAACAGUUUACAUAUGUUAUGCUUCAAUUUAUUAACAUUUUAAGGAUGUUAACUUCCUGAUUUUGAUAUUGUACUAUUAUUAUAUAAGAUGUAACCAUUGGGGAAAACUAGGUGAAGCUUUCACAAGAUUCCUCUUUGUACUACUUUUGCAACUCUCUAUGAAUCUAUAAUUAUUUCAAAAUAAAAAGGUGGUUUUUUUUUUGGUAAAGUCAUAUUUUAUGCACACGCACACACACACCCACACAUACACACAGUUUCUUAUGGGAAAAUGUUAUUUUGAAGUAAAUUGGGAAUGUAGGCAUUUCAUUUAUUCUUUCCAAAAUCAUUUGUUUCUACUUUUGCAAGAUUUUUUUUCUUCUUCCUCCUCUUUCUCUCCCUUCUCCCAGUUCUUUUUUUUUUUUUGUAGGAUACUGAGAUAGCUUACUUUUCUUGCUUAGGAAUGCCUUCAUUUUUUGGAAAGGCAUUCUUUUUUUUUUUCCACCAUUUUCAACUCAAUUUUAGUUAUUUAAUUUUUCUGUCAUUAUAAUUUGGAUAUAUAACUUAUUUGAGAAGUGCAGAUCAUUUCAUAGCUAUCUCAUUCUUUUAUAACUCAAUCUUUUUGUUUUUUAACAGAUUAGAAACUAAAGCAGAGAAAGUUAGUGAUAGAAAGCAUGAAGUAGAGUAACAAAACUGAAAACAGCCAGUUGCCCUACCAACCUGUUCUGCGCUAUUCUUUUUUAUUUUUUACCAUACUAUAUUCGAUCCCAUUUUAUUCAUUCCAUUCUAUUUUAUGAUUUCCCAACCUAUAUAUAUAUUCCAUUCAUCCUAUUCUGUUCCAUUCUAUGCAAUAAAUAUUUAAUGAGUGUUUAGUAUGUGGCAGGUGUUAGUCUAUGUGGCUUGGCAUGUACCAGUCAACACAAUAGACAAAAAAUUGCUGCUCUUCUAAAGCUUACAUUACAAGAGGAGGAGACAGAAACAAAAUAGACUUAAUUCGUAAGUAAAUUUUAGAAGUUAGUGAGUGCUAUGGAAUAAAGAAAGAGUUAAGUAGAUGGGGGAUAUCAGGUGGGAAUGGAGGGAAAGUUACAAUUUUCAAACAGGGUAAGGUGUGAAAAACUGUAAGGAAUUUUGCCAUAAAUUGAUCUGAGCGAUGUGUUUUCUGAUCACUAAGAAUAGCAAGGCCAAAGGCACGAGGAUGUGAGAUGGCUGGAAUGUUUAAGAAACAGCAGGGAGAUCAGAGUGGCUGGAGUAGAGUGGUGAGAGGAGAGUAGGUGCAGGUGAGGUCAGAUAGGAAAGAAAGGUCUGACUACACAGGGCUUUUGAAGGUGUUGGUUUUUACUCUGAGCAAAAUAGCCAGCCAUAGCAGGGCUUUCAGCAGAAGACCACAUGAUCUCAAUUAUAGUUUAGGACCCUAGCAAUCCUGUUGAGGAAGACAUUGGCUUAUUCUAUACUCUUAGCUGUGAAGGUAGAGAGAAUUAUUAUUCAUAUUAUUAACAACAACCACAUACACCAAAAAACCCUCAGGAUAUUUUGAAGAUAGAGUCAAAGGGAUUUCCUCAUGAAUUUAAUACAGAUUGUGAGAGAAUGGAAGGGGUAAAAGAUGAUUCCAAGGAUUUGGGCAUGAGCAUCUGGAAGGUUAGUGUUGCCAACAACCAAUAUGGAGAAGAUGGCAUAUGGAGCAGGUUUGAGGGGGAAUGUCAGGAGAUCUUUUUUUAGAUAUGGUAACUUUGAUAUAUCUUUUAGACAUACAAGUAGACAUUGCUUGUAGGCAGGUGGGUAUAUGAGUCUGGAGUUCAUGAAAGAGAUCCAGGGCAGAGAUACAUAUCUGAGAGUUACCAGCACAUAGUGAUAUUUAUCAUGAGAUUAGAUGAGGUUACCGAAGAAGUGACUAUAGGUAGAGAAGAAGACCAAGAACUAAACUCCAGGGACCCAGAGUUAAGAAGUCAGGGAAUAGACGAGGAACCAGAAAAUGAGUCAAGAAGCAACUAGUGAGAUAGAAAACCUGACAAUGUGUGUCCUCUCAGCCAAGAGAAGAAAAGUAUCAAAAGCGAUCCAAUUACUAAACUGUAUCUCUUCACCUCAGUGCAAAUGUGUAUGAUGUGAUUCAAUAUCUUCCUGUAUCCCUAAUUUUAUUUUUAUUCUAUUUUUAUACUGGAAAACAGAAUCAUUUUUUGUUUGAAAUUUAGCCUGCUAAGAAAAAGUAGACUUUGUUGUUGUUGUUGCUUAAAUUUCAAACAGAAUCAACAUUGUUUAAAAUUGUUUUAAGAACUAGAUUUGGUGUUAACAGUUUUUCUGUGGUGAGUCUGAAUUUCCUUGAGCCCUUAUUUACAGCAGAAGGUAACCACUACACUUAUUCUAGGAGGCUGGAUUGAAAUGUAUUUUAUGUAUUAUUAUUUUAGGAAAAAGAUAUUAAGCAUCUUAUCUUUAUUAUGAUCACAUUUGUUAUUACCAGCAUCUUCUAUAAAUAGUACUUUUUGAGGCUACAUGUUGUUGUGGACUUGUGCAUUUUUAAAAGAUUAAGCAUUUGGCUUGGAAUUAUCAAGUAAUCCUGUGUAGUAACUGUGAUUAAAAUUAUGCAGGAAUUCAUUUCAAACUGUGACAAAUAUAUUGUAGCUUAUGCUCUUCUUAUUGAAUUUGUUCAUAUAUUUUAUCAAGAAUGUCAAGUAUUUUUACAUUAAGUUUAUGUAGGUUUAUAGGUGAAAAUAUAAAUUAUCAGUAAUGCAAAUUAUGAUCUUGAAAAAGUAGCUAGAUUUUCAGGUUUUCCUUUUUUUGAGCCUGCAGAAUAUUUGGAAAUUAAUUUGCAUUUUUUUUGGUGUGUAUUUAUAUUGUCUUUUGCUUAUAUUCUGCAUUACAGGAUUCUGAGUUUCCACUUAAUGAGUAGGCUUUACAGUACCCACAAAUUACUGCAACAAAGUUAAAAAAAAAAAGCACUAGAAGCCUAAUGAAAUGGACUGCUGAGAACAGAGCUGAAUAAACACAAGCUUCCCUUUUUGCAGUGACUGUUCCAAACUAAGCAGAAGCUGCUUCUUUAUUUCAGGGAAGGAAAAAUAAUGACCCGGUUUUCUUUAUUUUUCUGGUGAGCAAUUUAACUGCUACCUCCAUUUGGCAUAUUCUCCCACUUCUUUUACUGGAAUGGGCUAUAACUGUAGGUAUGGCAUUCUUUGCCACAAUGUAUAUUUUCCUUACUGCAGUGUGUAUUUUGAGCCAUAUUUACCAACACAGAUAUUUACUUUUUCUCUGAGAUGUGGUCUAGAAGCAAUUGUUCAGAGAGAAAUUCAACACUGACACUAGAGGUAAACCUGUUCCCGGCAUUUCAGUGUGUAUGUGUGUUUGUAGAAUUAUCAUCAAAGAGAGAAGAUUAUUCUUCCAGAUGGCAUUUACCUUAAUAAAAACUGCUAAUAUGCACAUGCUUGAAAACCAUUUCUAAUCCAAGUGUACUGGCAGCGUGUUAUUUUCAGGAGUAGUUGCAUUAACUCUUUGAACCUUUUAAAAAAUUAUCUUCUACUUUUGAACUAGGUCUUUUGACAGAUAAUAGCUGUCCUCAGUAAGUUAUCCUUUGAGUACUGUGCGUGUGCACCUUUGUGUGUAUUUGUGCUGUGUGUAAACCAUUGUGUAUUUUGGCAUGGCCCAAGUCAGCAGGAAGGCUCCAGGGCUGAGGCUGCUUUCAUCCUCUGUUACACCCUCACAACCUUCCUGUUUUACGAUAAUUCUGAAACCUAAUGCUCCUGCUACUUUUAACUCAGAACUGUGUUUAUUUGCCUGUGGCCUGUUUUAUUGUAAAAUAAAAACCUUAAGAACCCUAUGUUUUUAGGGUGCUUUUCCCCCCUCAAGAACACUGUGGUUGUCUUAAAGCCUAAAUGACUGUGUUUUAAUGAUGUGUAAAGAUUCAGUAAAAAAUAAAUCAUGGCAAUUUUGUUUUAAGAAGAAACUUUUAAAGGCAAUACAUGCUGCAGACUUCAAAAAGUCUAAUCAAACAAUUAAGAACAAACUGUACUUGUGUGAGCUUAUCAUUUUAUUCUGCACUUUUCAUAACAUAUUAGGUGUUAAGCUUCGAAAGAUUAUGCUUUAAUUCCGGGUAACUAUUGGUAGGGGAUUUAAGUCACAAUUAUUUAAACAUAAGUUUUUCACAGAUCUUGAAUGUCUCUGGGAAUUUUCUCCCCCUGAGGCAAAUAAUAGAGGGAAUUAAAGCUGAUUUGUUUUCUUUGCCAAUUGAAAUGAUGAGAUAGGUGGCUGCCACUGAUUUUAUCUUACCUAUGAGCAUCCUACAGCCUCUUUAUGUUCUGGUAAUGCCCCUGAUGGUGAUGCAUGGUAAAUAGUGGAGUAAAUUACAAGAGAGUUGUAGGUGUGAUGGGAGUAAUGGAAAAGUAAAAUGCCAUCUUUAUCCUCAAGGGACUUACAGUCUGGCUCAGUAUUUCUUAUGAAGGGAGUGUGGGACACUAUUGGCAUUUUAGGUAGGGCAGUUCUUUUCUUGUAUGGAAAUGUUCCACACUUUGUAGGAAGUUAAGUUUCUCUGGCUCCUGCCUAGUAAUUAUUAGUAGCACCGUUAAUUACUGUGAGAGUAAAAAAUAAGUCCAUAUAUUUAUCAGAUGUCCUCUAGAGAAGGUAUUAAUUCUAAUCCUUCUUCCUUAGAACAGUUGGAAGAUCUGAAAUAUACACUAUACACAUAAGAAGUGAUUAUAGAACUGUAUUGUCUAUAUUGUCGAAACUAUGUUAAAGGAAUGAUGCAUACCAUAAAAGCUAAGAAAAGACAGGAAAAAAAAAGGCUGGUUAGUUGCCUCUGGGUACACCAACUGGUGUUACAGAUCACUUUUUUUUUGAGACGGAGUCUCUCUCAUCACCCAGGCUGGAGUGCAGUGGCGCAAUCUCGGCUCACUGCAAGCUCCGCCUCCCAGGUUCAUGCCAUUCUCUUGCCUCAGCCUCCCGAGUAGCUGGGACUACAGGCGCCCGCCACCACGCCCAGCUAAUUUUUUGUAUUUUUAGUAGAGACGGGGUUUCACCGUGUUAGCCAGGUUGGUCUCUAUCUUCUAACCUUGUGAUCCACCUGCCUCAGCCUCCCAAAGUGCUGGGAUUACAGGCGUGAUCCACCACGCCUGGCCCAGAUCACUCUUGAAGAUCAUGCUGAUUCUUCUGCUGUGACUAUCCUCUUCUGUCUCCCUCCUUUUUUUUUCUGCCCUGGAUAACUCCUACUUAACCAUCAAGAUAAACUAAAUUGUUAUACCUUCCAAGAAGCCCUCAUGAGCUUUCUCUCUUCUUAGACUGGGUGGGAUGACUAUGAACCUGGUUCUUACAAAUCAUUAGGUGCAUCUCUGUCACUGUCUUCUAGAAUUCUAUUGACAUCAUCUGUUAAGGGGCCUUUCUAUCUUCUCAAUAGCUUCUGUGUGUAUAUUGCAGGCAGGAACUACAUACUACAUCUUUCUUACCUAGUUAAAUUCUAUGUGUGAAGUGCAUAUUCAAUUAACUGACCUGAACUUGGCAGAAACGUAUAAAAUUGUGUAGUUGUAUAGUUGAUGAAAACAUAUAAAAUGUAGUUUCAUUAUUUUUUGACAUCAAAUUAAAAUUCUGUUCAAAAGUCUCCUUUAAUAUAACUUUGCUCAUUUAAAAAAGAUUCUUAUGCCCCACUGUUGGAAAUAUAAUUUGGUACAAUGCUUUUGGAAAGUCAUUUGGCAGUAGGUAUCAAGAGAUUUACAAGUUCAUGGUAUUUGAUUCAUUAAUUCCAUUUCUGGGAACCUCUCCUAAGGAAACAAUUCUAAUUAUAGAAAAAGCCUGAUACACAAAAAUCUCCAUUUCAAAACUGUUACUAACAGCAAAAAAUUCCGAAGUCUUCAAGAAGUCUGGGGAAUGGGAGCUUGGUUAAUUAUUGACAAUCCAAUUCUAAUGGAUAAUUUUGGGACAAUUGUGGGGAACUGUGUGUGAAUAUGAUCUGGCUUUUAGAUGUGAUGAAAUUAUUCUGAAAUAGAUGGAGAUUAUUGAUCCCCCAAAAUAAUAUAGCUACAAUACAAUAUGAAUAUAUUAACUCAUUUUAGUAUACACAUGGAGACAGACACAAACACACAGAUGUGUAUAUAUGUAAAAGAUCCAAGAGGAUAUACUACAUCUUAGCAAUGCUAACCUCUGGGUAUUAGGAAUUGAUGUUGAUUAUUUUCUGUAUUUUAUUAUUUCCUAAUUUCUACAAUACCCAUUACACAGGUGUAAUAAUAAAGGAUAUUUUUAAAAAACAAGGAAUCGAAAAUAAUUUAAAAUGUUCAUCAGUAACAUGGCUAAAUUAAUCAUUGUAGGUCUAUAUUCUAAGUUAUUUCAUUAUACUCAAAGACAAUAUGAGAAAUUUUUAUAACCUGGCAAAAUAGUUGUAUUGUAGUAUUCAGUGAAAAGAGCAAGAUGAAAACCUUUUUACAUAGGUUGGUCUACACUCCAAAAGUAGAUCUCACAGUGAUUGUUUCUACAUGGUAAAAUCCUGGGAUUUUCUUUUUAUUUUCUUGAAUUAUUUUUCUAUAGUAAAUAUUUUUUUUAAUUGGAAAAAUAAAUGUAUCAUCAAAAAUUCUGUUAAAAAA